rnacentral:rRNA from 1 species
UAAAGAAUUUCGGUUAUCGAUGGGGAUGCGUUCCAUUAGUUAGUUGGCGGGGUAACGGCCCACCAAGACGACGAUGGAUAGGGGUUCUGAGAGGAAGGUCCCCCACAUUGGAACUGAGACACGGUCCAAACUCCUACGGGAGGCAGCAGUGAGGAAUAUUGGUCAAUGGGCGCUAGCCUGAACCAGCCAAGUAGCGUGAAGGAUGACUGCCCUAUGGGUUGUAAACUUCUUUUAUAUGGGAAUAAAGUGCAGUAUGUAUACUGCUUUGCAUGUACCUUAUGAAUAAGGAUCGGCUAACUCCGUGCCAGCAGCCGCGGUAAUACGGAGGAUCCGAGCGUUAUCCGGAUUUAUUGGGUUUAAAGGGAGCGUAGGCGGGUUGUUAAGUCAGUUGUGAAAGUUUGCGGCUCAACCGUAAAAUUGCAGUUGAUACUGGCAUCCUUGAGUACAGUAGAGGUAGGCGGAAUUCGUGGUGUAGCGGUGAAAUGCUUAGAUAUCACGAAGAACUCCGAUUGCGAAGGCAGCCUGCUGGACUGUAACUGACGCUGAUGCUCGAAAGUGUGGGUAUCAAACAGGAUUAGAUACCCUGGUAGUCCACACAGUAAACGAUGAAUACUCGCUGUUUG